rnacentral:rRNA from 1 species
GACGGAGGAUGCAAGUGUUAUCCGGAAUCACUGGGCGUAAAGCGUCUGUAGGUGGUUUAAAAAGUCUACUGUUAAAAAUUGAAGCUUAACUUCAAAGAUGCCGUAGAAACUUUUAAACUUGAGGAUGGCAGGGGUAGAGGGAAUUUCCAGUGGAGCGGUGAAAUGCGUAGAUCUUGGAAAGACCACCAAUGGCGAAGGCACUCUACUGGGCCAUGACUGACACUAAGAGACGAAAGCUAGGGGAGCAAAUGGG